rnacentral:pre_miRNA from 10 species
GCAGGGGUCCAGGACAGCUCCUGCCCUGCGGACAGUCAGCAGUUGGUCUGGUGUGAGCAGCGAUUCUCAGAUCACCUCUUGGCUGUGGGUGGUGCAGGGAGCACCCCACCGCAGCACGG